GAUGAAGAACGUAGCGAAAUGCGAUAAGUAAUGUGAAAUGCAGAAUUCAGUGAAUCAUCGAAUCUUUGAACGCACAUUGCGCCCCUUGGUAUUCCGAGGGGCAUGCCUGUUCGAGCGUCAUUAUAACCCCUCAAGCUCAGCUUGGUGUUGGGGCCUGCUGCACUGGCAGCCCUUAAAAUCAGUGGCGGCGCCAUCUGGCUCUAAGCGUAGUAAUUCUUCUCGCUAUGGAGUCCUGGUGGAUGCUUGCCAUCAACCCCCAAUUUUUCUAUGGUUGACCUCGGAUCAGGUAGGGAUACCCGCUGAACUUAAGCAUAUCAAUAAGCGGAGGA
rnacentral:misc_RNA from 1 species